CAGGGCUAAGCGUGAAACCAUUGAGGAUUUUCACAGUUGCAAACUGAGCAGAGCCUGCUGCACUAUGUGAAGCCUCAUGGAUGCUCGAAGACUGGCCUAAUCAGAAGGAGGAGGCAAGUGAGAACACAGACAAAACUGCCAGGGAUGGAAGUAUCUGGGUGAGGAGGAUGCAGAAAAUGGAUGCAGGAAAGCAAGAAAAGGAAGUGGAAGAGAGAGAUGUUGAGAAGACUAUAUACCGGCAUCGGAUCAUCCUAAAGCCCCACAGCUUACAGAAGAAAUCAAGAUGAGCACAACUCCCUGGUCCGUGAGGGAGAAGGGGUCAUGGAAGAGGCAGUUGGCAGAUGUGUAUCGGGAGGGCUGAGCCGGCAGCAAGAGAUGUGUCUGGUGUCUUUCUAAGAAGAAGAGACUAGGACACAGAUACACUCAGAGGAAAGGCCAUGUGAGGACACAGGGAGAAGGUGGUCAUCUACAAGCCAAAGAGAGAGGCCUCAGAAGAAGCCAACCCUGUCGGCACCCUGAUCUUGGACUUCCAGCCUCUA